rnacentral:rRNA from 1 species
AGCCUGAACGCUGGCGGCGUGGCUAAGACAUGCAAGUCGUACGGGUGUAGCAAUACACCAGUGGCGAACGGGUGAGUAAUGUAUCGCUAAUGUGCCCCGGAUUCUGGGAUAGCUAUCCGAAAGGGUAGGUAAUACCAGAUGAUAUGACUUUGCCGCAUGGCAGAGUUCUCAAAGGAGUAAUCCGCUCUGGGAGCAGGCGAUAUCGUAUCAGCUAGUUGGUGAGGUAACGGCUCACCAAGGCGACGACGCGUAGCCGGACUGAGAGGUUGGCCGGCCACAUUGGGACUGAGACACUGCCCAGACUCCUACGGGGGGCUGCAGUAACGAAUCUCCGCAAUGCACGAAAGUGUGACGGAGCGACGCCGCGUGUGGGACGAAGCCCUUCGGGGUGUAAACCACUGUCGAGGGGUUAGAAAGUUCUGAUCAACCCAGAGGAAGGCACGGCUAACUCUGCGCCAGCAGCCGCGGU